CGCUGGCGGCGUGCCUAAUACAUGCAAGUCGAACGCUGCUUAAGAAGAAACUUCGGUUUUUUCUUAAGCGGAGUGGCGGACGGGUGAGUAACACGUGGGGAACCUAUCCAUCAGCGGGGGAUAACACUUGGAAACAGGUGCUAAUACCGCAUAUGGCUUUUUUUCACCUGAAAGAAAGCUCAAAGGCGCUUUACAGCGUCACUGAUGGCUGGUCCCGCGGUGCAUUAGCCAGUUGGUGAGGUAACGGCUCACCAAAGCAACGAUGCAUAGCCGACCUGAGAGGGUGAUCGGCCACACUGGGACUGAGACACGGCCC
rnacentral:rRNA from 1 species